CUCACUCUCAGAAUCACCAAUAUUUUCCUCAACCGGACUCACUCGGACUCAAACUCACCAAAAGAUUUUCUCACCCGGACUUUCUCAGACUCAGCCCCACAGCCAGACCUGAAUCUGAGCGAGUCUGAGUGAGUUUGAGGACCUGUGGCUCUGUGUAGUGUUAUGUCCACAGGAUAUUAAUUUUACACUUUGCACUUUGGCAUGUUUGCACUUGUGAUACCGUAAACAUUACGUUUUGUCUUGUUCUAGUCUUUCACCUCGUGACGAUGCAAAGGAAAGUAGCGCUCAAGUCUUUGGAAACACUGCCAAUUUUUGUCUUCCUGGAAGCUCUGGUGUCCUUUCUCUGGGCACGCACAGGCGCUGGAAGCUGCUGCAAUGUAAUUACUGCCCGUUCGUGAGCCGCUUUGAGAGCGCCAUCCGCAGGCACCAGCUUCGGCACACCAAGGAGAGGCCACAUCGAUGCGAGUUCUGCCCAAAGAGCUUCCAGCGCAGGUAUCAACUCACUCAGCACAUGGCGAUCCGUCACGGCACCAAGCCUGCCCCCCGGCAAAAGGUGCAAGACUUUGGUGACCACACAGCCUUGCUCGAUCCUGCAAAUGAGUCAUCUGAAUUUGAAAUGGAUAUGGGAGUGAACAUGUUCCAGUUUUAAAUGCGGGACUAAAGAAAUCAAGCAAGGUCGUGAGGUGUUGCAGAGGUGCAGUGGGCAAGUCUUCCAGGGUUCCGCAAUGCCGGUGCAUCCUUGAGUUCUGAACGUGUGAGAGUUUAUGCAUUUGAUGUUGCACCAGGAAGAUGUUUUGUGCAAAGCUCACAAGUGUACAUACAUUGGGCUCCGUCCAAACACAAGAAAAAAGAAGUGUUUGCUUUAUUGAAAGCUUCGUUCAGGCAGAAAGCACUGCAGCUUGAAAUGCUGAUCUUGUUUCACCUCAGGAUAGUGCUAAUUAGGGUGAUAUUUGGCUCUACUUAAUUUCUCACAGCACAAGGGGUCUGUGUGCCAUAACAAUUCUCCGGAGUCAGUGUGUUUAACCUUUUGAGAUGAUAUGUACACAAUUGUGUACACCACUUCGUCUUACUAUUUGUAUCGACUAGGGGCCAAGAAAGAGCACGAUACAUUGAGCUUUAAAUUAAUUGAACCUCCUUCAUAAUAAAUUUGUCUUCAUUUAACUUCAUUUGACAGGGUUAGAAGUACUAACAAUGCAUAAUCUUGGUUUCCUUCACAUUGAGUUGGUGCAUCACCAUGUUGCACACCAGGUAAUAAUUGAGCCAUCGUCACAACUCUCACUUCAAUUACUUCUGCACAAUCAAUAGAGUUCAUUGUCUUCGUUACCUUGUCAAAUACAAGUGAUUUGCUAAGUGGCUACUUAACUACCACUCAGGACAGUCCAUAGGAUGCACACAGCUGUCAAAAAACUGAACAAAGUGAAUGCCAAAGAGUAGCUUACUAAAGCAGCAAGGCAAUAGUUUUGUGAAACAGAGUUCCUUGAACAUUCAGCGUUGCCUACCCAAAUGUUUGGUAGACUGCUGCUGUUCUAUACAUAUUGCAACAUCCAACAAAGACUGAAGUAGUUUCGAUACCAGUAAGGUUGUCCAAUGUUCACAGAGUGCCUGUAUGCGACCAACCGAAUCUGUGUCCACCUCUUUGUUCUUCUCAAGCGAACCGCAAUUCACCAUUGUGUGCUGUAUGCAGCAAGGUGCAUUUCACAAAAAAGUUGUGGUUUUGCCUGAAGGUAGCUGUGGCAGUGUGUCUAACAUCCAUAAAAAGAGUUUGGUAUAUCGCCCCUGUAUAUCGCAGUGAGCAUUUACAUGCAAAUAAAAUCGAGUACAGUGCGUGUGCGUGCACAGGCAAACGCGGACACCUCUUAUUUUAUGGCUGCAAACUCUUGUCUUCCACAGUGUUGGCAUAAUGAGCAGUGUAAACAGAAGUGAGCAAAUGCACUCAGUCGCUUCUUGCUUCUUCAAGAUGAGUCAAGCUGCAACGUUAAGCGUGUACAGAUCCAUGAAUGCUGGCGGAGAGAGUUGCAUGAGCCCCUCAUCUUGCUCAGUCCUUGAAACAGCUGCAGAUUACAUCCAAGAUUGGGUGCGCAGGCAUUUUUGUGACAACCUAUGCUGGCAUGGAGGGCAUCGUCUUUCACUACUCUGACCUUCCCAUGUGGGGCUGACUGGAAGUGGUAUUUGCACUUCACCCGCCGCCUGCCAAGACUGCAUGCUCCUUCGCAUGCUUUCUCUCAGUUCCGCAGUGUACCGCAUGAGGGGCAAUCUAAAGUCCUCUUGCACUUUCCUUUGUACCUACCGGCCCAGUGAUAACACUACACGGCGCAUUUUCAGUAGAAGUGUUGUUAUUAUUACUUUUACAAUGAAAUGUAAUAUAUCUGUUCCUGCUAUUCUGUUUCAUGUUGUGGUGGCAAGAUGUUAUAUUCAAACAAAAAAAAAAGUUUUUGGAAUCCCUAUUUUGCUGUCUCAUUUCUGCCUUGCCUUUGUGUGGUGGGUGUUGUCACCAAAUUUAGGUUAACCACAGCAAGUAUAUAUAGUAGAGCUUGUUUAAUGAAUUCUCAUAAGAAACUGGUGUAGCCAAGCAGGAUCAUUAUGUUGCACACAGUCAAAUUAACUUGUGUAGCGAUUCAGACAGUGGUAGUAACUGAUUCGGGCCAUAGACUCUGAUAAGAGAAAAUCUCGCAACCCAAUUUUUGUGUUAUGGCAUUAUACGUUGUAAAAUACUGGAGUGUUUAAACAAAACAUUUGUUCCACUUCAGAUAAAAGAUCCAGUUUUGGUUAAAAAUAACAGUUCAAAGUGUUUUACAUUCAUGUAACCUUGUAAAUAUUGUGGGAAACGAUCAUGAAUUAAUUUUCCACAAAAUCAUCACCAUGUUGCGGAACAGCCCGGAAAGAUUCAGUGUUGCAGUUGUUCAUGCCGCAAGUAUUUUAAAAGGAGUGACAUUCUGAAAUUGCCCCUAUCAUUCUCAUUACAUCUACUUCAGUUUUUUACACAAGUGUUAUCAAAAUCAAAGUAAAUAAAGAGUGGUCUUGUCAUUAAUACAGUGUUGCAUUACAAAU